rnacentral:rRNA from 1 species
UACGGAGGGUGCAAGCGUUAUCCGGAUUUACUGGGUUUAAAGGGUGCGUAGGUGGGCGAGAAAGUCAGUGGUGAAAUCUCCGGGCUUAACCCGGAAACUGCCAUUGAUACUAUUGUCUUGAAUACUUUGGAGGUAAGCGGAAUAUGUCAUGUAGCGGUGAAAUGCUUAGAUAUGACAUAGAACACCAAUUGCGCAGGCAGCUUACUACACAGUAAUCGACACUGAGGCACGAAAGCGUGGGGAUCAAACAGGAGUUAGAAACCCC